AAUAUUGGACAAUGGGCGCAAGCCUGAUCCAGCCAUGCCGCGUGAGUGAUGAAGGCCCUCGGGUUGUCCCGCUCUUUCAACGGUGAAGAUAAUGACGGUAACCGUAGAAGAAGCCCCGGCUAACUUCGUUCCAGCAGCCGCGGUAAUACGAAGGGGGCUAGCGUUGUUCGGAAUUACUGGGCGUAAAGCGCACGUAGGCGGAUCGAUCAGUUAGGGGUGAAAUCCCAGGGCUCAACCCUGGAACUGCCUCUAAUACUGUCGAUCUCGAGUUCGAGAGGGGUGAGUGGAAUUCCGAGUGUAGAGGUGAAAUUCGUAGAUAUUCGGAGGAACACCAGUGGCGAAGGCGGCUCACUGGCUCGAUACUGACGCUGAGGUGCGAAAGCGUGGGGAGCAGACA
rnacentral:rRNA from 1 species